GAUGAACGCUGGCGGCGUGCCUAAUACAUGCAAGUCGAACGCUGGAAAUCUAGCUUGCUAGAUUGAAGGAGUGGCGAACGGGUGAGUAAUACAUAAGCAACCUACCCACGAAGACUGGGAUAAUCUCUGGAAACGGGGACUAAUACCGGAUAGGUAAUCGGAAGGCAUCUUCUGAUUAUUAAAGGUUAAAAACACUGGUGGAUGGGCUUAUGGCGCAUUAGUUAGUUGGGGAGGUAACGGCCCACCAAGACGAUGAUGCGUAGCCGGCCUGAGAGGGUGAAAGCCGACAUUGGGACUGAGACACGGACCAGACUCCUACGGCAGGCAGCAGUAGGGAAUGUUCGGCAAUGGGGGAAACCCUGACAGAGCAACGCCGCGUGAGUGCUGACGGCCUUCGGGUUGUAAAGCUCUGUUGUAAGGGAAGAACGGUAGAUAGAGAAUAUCUAAAUGACGGUACCUUACCAGAAAGCCACGGCUAACUACGUG
rnacentral:rRNA from 1 species